GGCCCGCCAGAUUAUUACAAGUAAAAACUUAAAACUCAAAGGACUUGACGGUGUCCCACACACAACCUAGAGGAGCCUGUCCUAUAAUCGAUGAUCCACGAAGGACCUUACCACCUUUUGCCCAACAAUCUAUAUACCGCCGUCGGAAGUUCACCUUAUGAAAGAAAAAAAGUGAACGGAAUAGUUAGACACAAGCACGUCAGGUCAAGGUGUAGUUAAUAAGGUGGACCGAGAUGGGCUACAUUUCCUAUAAAAGGAAAAACGGACGGUCAAAUGAAAAUAAACCAGAAGGAGGAUUUAGUAGUAAAACAGGAUCAGCAAGCCUGCUUGAACACACUGCCCUGGGACGCGCACACACCGCCC
rnacentral:rRNA from 1 species